AACGAACGCUGGCGGCGUGCCUAACACAUGCAAGUCGAGCGCGAAAAGGGCAACCUGAGUAGAGCGGCGCACGGGUGCGUAACACGUGGGUAAUCUGCCUUAGAGUCGAGGAUAACCUUCCGAAAGGUUGGCUAAUACUCGGUAAGCUUACGGUGUCUUCGGACGCUGUGGGAAAAGUAGGCCUCUGUUUACAAGCUUACGCUCUGAGAUGAGCCCGCGGCCCAUCAGCUAGUUGGCGGUGUAACGGACCACCAAGGCAACGACGGGUAGCUGGUCUGAGAGGACGAUCAGCCACACUGGAACUGCGACACGGUCCAGACGCCUACGGGAGGCAGCAGUGGGGAAUUUUCCACAAUGGGCGAAAGCCUGAUGGAGCAACGCCGCGUGUGUGAUGAAGGUUUUCGGACCGUAAAGCACUUUCGACUGGGACGAAAAACCUUUGGCUAACAUCCAAGGGCCUGACGGUACCAGGAGAAGAAGCACCGGCUAACUCUGUGCCAGCCGCCGCCGUAACAC
rnacentral:rRNA from 1 species